rnacentral:sRNA from 1 species
GUCGUGAGAUGUUGGGUUAAGUCCCGCAACGAGCGCAACCCCUGUCCCAUGUUGCCAGCAUUCAGUUGGGGACUCAUGGGAGACUGCCGGUGACAAACCGGAGGAAGGUGGGGAUGACGUCAAGUCAUCAUGCCCCUUAUGUCCAGGGCUACACACGUGCUACAUUGGCGCGUACAGAGGGAAGCAAUACCGUGAGGUGGAGCAAAUCCCAAAAAGCGCGUCUCGGUUCGGAUUGGAGGCUGAAACUCGCCUCCAUGAAGGUGGAGUUGCUAGUAAUCGCGGAUCAGCAACGCCGCGGUGAAUACGUUCCCGGGCCUUGUACACACCGCCCGUCACACCACGAAAGCGGGCAACACCCGAAGCCGGUGGGCUAACCCUUUUGGGAGGCAGCCGUCGAAGGUGGGGCUCGUGAUUGGGGUGAAGUCGUAACAAGGUAGCCGUAGCGGAAGCUGCGGCUGGAUCACCUCCUUUCUAGGGAGCUCUUUAGGGAGCAGAUUUGUCCCUAAUGUCGACCGAACCUGCGCCGGGCCUAGUGCCCGGCGAUCGCUGCUCAGUUUUGAGGGACCGCGGGCGGAAGUCCUCCGCUCAGCCGGCCUCGACGGAGCUUGAAAACUGCACCAAUAGGCCAAAAGGGUAAUUCAAUCCCGCACGCGCUUUCGGGCGCGCGUGGGAGCUCACCGUCAAGAGAAUAAGGGCACAUGGCGGAUGCCUUAGCACCAGGAGUCGAAGAAGGACGUGGACGGCUGCGAUAAGCCGCGGUGAGGCGCUGAACAGCCUUUGACCCGCGGAUUU